UACUAAUAAUAAUUCUCACGCUUUAAGACAAAAAGAAAAUCCAAAGACUAAACACUUUCACCAUUGGUGCAUAAAGAUGAGAAAAGAGGGUUCUUUAUACUUGAGAAUUUGUUGCUGUUUUUAGAGGAAAGAAACAAAGUUUUAAAAGAUAAAGGAGUACGCAUCAGAGUUGCCGAUUUUGCUUCUUUGCAAGCAAACAGGUGGCUUUUUUACGUAAAUACCAAAAACCAAAAAGGGCCCUUGUCCUUGCAUUGUGGAGUAGCACCGUUACAGAGCCAUUGCAGUUUGUAAGAUAGAGGUUAUUAAUCUUUGUUUGACUUUUGUCACAUUCAAAUGUCAAUUUUUUUAAGAAAAUGUAUAAGGUCUGGUCUUCAAGGACAUACGUUUUGCUGCUAAUGUAGAAUUUUGAGGAAAAAAAAAAAAGAGUACCUAGAUGCAUGCUCAUUUUGCUUUUGGCUAAGCUUUAAAACAAACAAUAAACCAAUUUCUUGCCUCUGCAACACCUUUUUUUUUUCUUGUUGCAAAAACGGAACUUUGAAGACUGUGAAUAUAUGUUCCAAAGGACAUUUUGCCGAUUUUCUUUUUUUUUUGAAUAGACCAAUGUUUAAAGCCAAUGAUCUAUAACGUUUGUAAAGAACAGUGCAUUCCAAAUAUCACAAUGGAUUUUUCUUAAGCAAGGACUGAUCCUGUUUCAUUUGAUUGCUUUUAAUUGUCACAAUCUAUUUUUUCCUCAUUUUUGAAGUGACUGUAAACUGUUGUGUACAUUUUUUGCAUCAUUGGUUGCUGAAGAAAGCGACCCCCAUAUGUCAUUUUGUGCUGGCAUGGAACGUUGCUGAAAAUCCCUCCAUCCAGUCAAGGUUGUUGCUCACUUGUUAAGCAAGUAAUAGUGGUUACCAAAAAAUGUAUAUAAUACAUCUGGUACUGAUGCGUCUCAUAGGUUUAGUAACAUUUAUACCAGUCGACCUACAACUAGUCUCAGAGGGGAAUAACGGCCGUUUUGCUGAGGUGCUGUCGCUCAGUCACUUGUUGCAUGUGUCUGCAGGGUGCCACUUCCACACAUAGAUUACAGGUAGAGACAUCUUCAUUCCAAAGCAUUAUGUCUGGAAAAAGUAGGAGGUUAUUUUUGAAGAUGUCUCUUGUUUUCAAAUUGUUAGGAUGCUUUCAUGUCCAAAGAAGUCACUUACUUCGUUUUGUUGCAAUGGAAAUGGAUGUGCGUAGGUACCACGCCCUUCUCCCUUAUGAUAUCAUCAUUUUAAUUUGUCUUUUUUUUUUUUUUAAACCAAAACCAAGACAUAUUUAAAUUUGUGGAGAACUACUUUUUUGGCCACUAUUGUAUAGUCAAUAUAUUUUGCCCUAAUGACUAAAAAGGCACAAUCUCAAAGGUGUUUAAAAAUGCUACAUCUUGUAGAGAAAUGGUAUUUGGUGUUAAUACUACAGCAUGCUGUUGAAAGUCAGUAGAUCUGGUCUGCAAGCUUGCUACGUCUCAAGUCCAGUUCCCUGAAAUACUGUUCACUUGUGCUUUCUCGUGUUGAAAAAAACCCCAAUCCUUAAGUUGUACAGUUUUUCCUCAAAAUAUGUUUGCUUUAUUUUAUUUUUUAGAUAAUCUCAGACAUGUAUUAUUUUCUUAGAAGUAUUUUAUUUUAUUUUCCGUGUAUUACUUUUUAUCAUAAAUUAACACUAGCUUUAAAUUGAAUUGCUGAAAUUGAGAGACAAAAACGAAAAUUAUGACCUGGCCACUUUAUAUUCAUUGUCUCAAUGAUACUUUUUGCUUUUUUUUUUCCCAAAGUGUAAUCUUUUGGGCUCUUUUGUGGAAGACACAGUUGAGGUCUUCACAUUAGAUUCAGCCAGCAUGUACUCUGUAUGGGUUUGUGUGUUUAUGUAAGUGUGCGUUGUACGUUUGUGCGCGUGUAUGUGCGUGCGUGUCAUAAGAGCCAGCAUCAAUUCAAUUUUUUUUUCUUCUUUGCCUUUAAUUAUUAUUAUUUUUUGGUUAUAUGUUACUCACCAAAACAAGCUGAACCACGAAGCUGGAUUGUGAAUAACUGAAAUUCAGAAAAUCUAAUUUAAAAGAUAACGAUUGGAAAUGAGAACGAUGAUACCGAAGCACUGAGCAGUUUUUACUUUGAUUGAAUAUAUGAAUGUGGCCAAAGCUUUAUGCAGUUGAAACACAAAGGAAAAAAAAACGUGCCCCGGAUAAGUGUAUAUUUUAUUGCGGCACACAAUGCUAUUGUGGAUACAGGGAUCCACCUCCUUACAUUUGGGAUACUUGAUUUUAAUGGACAAUUACAAGAGAGGGAUAAAGACAAGGUCUUGCUGUAGAGGUCAUCUUUUGCCCACUGUGAAAACGAAAGUGUACCUGUAUACAGAUAUAGAUAUAUUUAAAACCAAGACAUCAACUGUUUGUUUUCUUUUAUUUGUUUGUUUGUUUUUUGAGAUGAAGAAGGAAUAAAAAGAAAUGAUAAAGGACUCUGGGAAGCUUUGGAGAUCUUGUUAGGAGGACAAGAGAGGCUCUGGGCACACAAAACUGGGCAUGGGAGCCAAAGCCAGGCUCAAAACAGCUUUAAAAACCACCUCCUUAUUUGAUUACUGACAACUCUGUAAUGCGAAUGGACUCUGGAACCAAUGGACGUAUGUCAUACACAGAGGAAAGUCUUUAGAGGAAACUGAACUUAAGUGGCUCCAGCUGCCUCUUUCUCCUUUCUGUCUGUCCUUUAUUUCUCCAGCUCUGCCUCCGCUUCUGCUCUUUGAUGGACAUUUUCCAAAUUUCAGGACAGGAUGGACAGAGAUGCUUGCUUCAUAUCUUCCAGUUCAUGUUGCUACCCGUUUCAUUUCCUCGUGCUUGUCUGCAGUUGACAAGUAAAGCUCUCCAGUCAAAUGGCGGCUCACCCCUCUCUCUGUUGGUUACAUUAUCUAAACAGAGAAAUUAACAACACAGAGAGGGGAUGGGUUCUCAAAGCUGUCAUUCUUAAAGAGGCAGUUACACUAAGAAAAAGAAAAAAAAAAAAGCAUAUUAACCAAAAUUAACAACCAAACUAACAACCAAACAACCAUUUGCUCCAACUUCAAAGAUGAACUGUUACUUGGAGCUCUCUGUUCCUUUUGUGACUUCUGGUGCCACAAUGUUUUUUUUAUCCUUUUAUUUUUUUUUUCUUUUUUGUUUGUUUUUUUCUUUUUGUUUCCUUGAAUUACUCCUCCUUCGAGCCUCAUAAGCAUGGCUCUGUGGCUCCAGGCAGCCCAUCUGAGGGUAGAAAAAAACAGCCUUGCAAUGUACAAAAAAGAGCAAGUUAAACCAAAAAUGUUGUUCUUGAUGUCUUUUCUAUACUGUAGUCUUGUUAGCUUUUUUGUUACUGUAAUUAUAUGAAGAUUUCCAAACUGUACCAAAUUACAUGGAAACUAACAUACAUACAACCACAUGGAACUUCAGACUUUUAAAGAAACUUUUGUCACAAAAACUUGUUGUCCUAGUUAAGUUGAUUGUAGAUGGUAAUUGAAUAUACUCCUUUGAAAAUAUUUCAUCAAGUAUGUUUCUUGCUCAUUGUGAUACAUUAAAAAAGUAUGAGCAUAAAAA
ensembl:lncRNA